rnacentral:rRNA from 1 species
GAUGAACGCUGGCGGCGUGCCUAAUACAUGCAAGUCGAGCGAAUGGAUUAAGAGCUUGCUCUUAUGAAGUUAGCGGCGGACGGGUGAGUAACACGUGGGUAACCUGCCCAUAAGACUGGGAUAACUCCGGGAAACCGGGGCUAAUACCGGAUAACAUUUUGAACCGCAUGGUUCGAAAUUGAAAGGCGGCUUCGGCUGUCACUUAUGGAUGGACCCGCGUCGCAUUAGCUAGUUGGUGAGGUAACGGCUCACCAAGGCAACGAUGCGUAGCCGACCGGAGAGGGUGAUCGGCCACACUGGGACUGAGACACGGCCCAGACUCGUACGGGAGGCAGCAGUAGGGAAUCUUCCGCAAUGGACGAAAGUCUGACGGAGCAACGCCGCGUGAGUGAUGAAGGCUUUCGGGUCGUAAAACGCUGUUGUUAGGGAAGAACAAGUGCUAGUUGAAUAAGCUGGCACCUUGACGGUACCUAACCAGAAAGCCACGGCUAACUACGUGCCAGCCGCCGCCGUAA